AAAAUCUUGCAUCUUGCAGCUGCACUACGAUUUCUACGAAAAUUAUACGACAUCUGAUACUUCUUUAUACUACAUUUUCGGGAUAUCGCUCUCGCAGAUAAUAUUGUUUUUUUUUUGUUCCCUUGAUAUAAUUUAAAGUAAUCAAACGAGAAGAAAAAGACUAAUAAGUACUCGUUAAAAAUGCGAUAAGUGAAUUAUCAUUUAUCUUUAAUAGAGAGAAAUAUUCUAUACAAAUACAUGCUAUAUAAUUCCACACAACAUUCAUUAAAUAUUCAGAAUUAAAUAUUGUAUAGAUGCAAUUUGCAGCCACGUCAUAUUCCCGAAUAAAAAAAGAUACAAUUUAA
rnacentral:lncRNA from 1 species